rnacentral:lncRNA from 1 species
CCCCUUCUCUAAAUCUUUAUUACCCCCACGUACUUGAUCCUGUGCUUAAGAAGACCAUAUACCAUCCUCAUUUGGAAAUGGGCAGGGGGUUCCUCGGGCAGCUUAAUAAAGCAUCCAAAGAACCUCCUCUUAAGAAGUCUGUCAAUGUUUUCCUUCUUCAUAAUAUUCCUAAAAUAAUUAAAAGGUUUCCCCAACUGACAUUUAAGUAUAA